UACGUAGGGUGCGAGCGUUGUCCUGAAUUACUGGGCGUAAAGAGCUCGUAGGUGGUUUGUCGCGUUGUCCGUGAAAACUCACAGCUCAACUGUGGGCGUGCGGGCGAUACGGGCAGACUGGAGUACUGCAGGGGAGACUGGAAUUCCUGGUGUAGCGGUGGAAUGCGCAGAUAUCAGGAGGAACACCGGUGGCGAAGGCGGGUCUCUGGGCAGUAACUGACGCUGAGGAGCGAAAGCGUGGGGAGCGAACAGG
rnacentral:rRNA from 1 species